rnacentral:lncRNA from 10 species
CUGAACACAAACCUCGCUGAACCUUUCCUGAGUGCGGAGCCCUGAGAAUCCAGUGGCACUCUUAACUUCACAGAGGAGGGGACUUUGAGAUGGAUUUUGAAAGCGGAGUUCACCAAGCAGAGACGUUGGGAUUCAUCAGUGAAGAGGAGCUUGGGCAGGUAUAACAGAUGGCGGGGCCAAGGAUCCCAACUUGCUUUCCAGGGUGUUGGUGAGAUUCCAGUGAGACGCUGGAAGGGCAAGUUUUCAUCACCAAUCAAGGGCCUGCAGAUCCAGGACUGACACUGCUCGUGGACAUGCUUACCUCAGAAAGCUGGUCAGUGCCAGAGACAAGUUGAAGCUGCCAAAAUUUCACCUGCCCCAGUGGUUGGAGCAUACAAUUAAAUGGCUGAUUUGAUAUGCAUACACUUCAUUCAAUGGAAUAAAUCUGUCGGUUUUGAUUUUGCCUCAGUCUCUAGUGAUAUGUAAGUACAUGUUGAUUCAUUUCAAAUUAGUUGGCCUUCCCCAACUCUCUCCCCGACUUUUCUUUCCUUCUCUCUCUCUCUUUCACUCUUUCUUUCCUCCUCCUCCUCCUUUCUAAAAAACACCAUUGCUUUUGUUUGUGGCAGUUUAAUUAUGGGAUUGACAGCCAUUUUAAUCUCUUCAAAGCUCCGCAACUGCCGCUUUUCAGCUAAUCCAAUUAUAUCUACUCCACAAGUUACAGCCUCAUCUAAAGAUGAUUAAUUAUUGAUUAAGCCAGUCAAAAAGCAUUAGGAAAGAUUUAUUUAAUCUUUUCAUAGGCUCUUAUUUAUUACAUGGAGAUUAUGGUGAAUGUACCUGUUGAGUUGCUAACUCCAGUCCUCCCAUCCCUAGAAAGGUCAGCAGUGUACUUAAGAGUGGCCUUGAAGAGCCCCAUGAACUGCUUAAAACUUAUUUAUCACAGAAAUGGGCAUCACCCCCCAAAAACAUGUCCAUAAGCAAAAACCCACAUGGCAGCAGCUAUAAUGUUGGUGGGAUUUGGAUGGAGGGGAAAUGACUCCCUCCUCACAGUUGUCCCUUAGGCCAACAGAAAGAAGGGCUCCCUCCUGGGAAGGGGCAGCCACACAGUAGUGUAAUGGUGUUACAGACACAGUGAAAUCUCCUGGGGAGGAGUGAGAACAGCUCAGUGGUCAAUGGAUAAGCCAACAGGAGCCUAAUGAAGAGCUCUGGCUAGCUCAGUAGACAACUUCGAAGUGUUUGAAAGCUUUGCUUGGGAAAUGUGAACGUCUGACAGGCUAAAUUGAGGCUCCUGAAUACUAUGAGGGAGGAAAUGUGUUUCCCAAUCCAAGAAAUGGGGUCAGAAUCAUAGAACUUAAAGUUGGAAGGGGUCUGAGAGAUCAUUUAGUCCAACCCCCUUCUUUAAUAAAGGAGACUGAAUGACUCAUCCAAGGUCACUUAUCUAGUGGCAGAGCUGGACCUGGGACAUGGGUCUCCUGAAUCCUAGUCCAGUGAUCUUUGCAGCCCACCACAUCUGGAUUAAUUGCCCUAACUGCAUUGGAGGAGCACACUGAGUUCAUGUCUUCAACAUCUGUUCAAUGACUAUGUGACAGGAACUAUGUCAUAUACUGGGAGGUAAGGAAGACUGGGUACAGCUGCUGCCUUUGAGGAGCACGGAAAACAAAUAUAUGCAAAAGUCAUUUUGAGCAGAAUGAGGUAAAUGCUGUAAGAGAAUUAUGAACAAAGAAGUGAGGCAGCUCCUGAGAUGAAGCACUGACCAGGCUGCCUGGGGAGGGCACUGUCAAGUGAGGUGUCAGUGAGUGGCCCUGCACUAGGCAGAUGGGCACAGAGCAUUUCAGAUAAAAGAGACUGUAAAGAGCUCUGAAUGGUCCCACUGACGUGUGUGAUUCUCUAUCUUUUUAAACCUUUUUGGAUUGUGUCAGCUCAUCUUUUCUAUCUCUGUGCUCUCAUGAAGCCGGGAAAGGGCCCAGUGUUUGGGGAAUGGUGAGGUUCAAUGAAGGAGGGGCAGGAGGUAAGGCUGCAAGGGUAGUUUGGGAUGCAAUAGUCAAAAAUGUCUUAAAUGCCAAAAUAAGGAGUUUAGAUUUUACCCUAUAAAGAGUGUUUGAUUACGUUUGUUUUAUAAGAAAGUACCUCUGGCAGCAGCAUGAUAGACACAUUGGAAUUGGUGGCAGAUAGACAAGUCAUUAGGGGGGUCAUCAUAAUAGUGUGUGGGGGAGGAGACAGACAGCUGGAUUAAGUCUGAGGUUGUGGGAAGAAAAGGCAACAUUUCUGAGGUAGAUCUCAUGACUCACUGGGAGGAAAAGGGGUUGGAGAAUGAGAGUAGUAAGUAGAGAGUUCCUGUUGUUUCAGCUCAGAUGACCAAGUGGAUGGUGACUCUAUUCAAUGGGGCCAGGACAUAGGAGAUGGAGAUUUGGUGGGGAGAUUCUGAUAUAUUUUAGGACUUGAAGGGCUUGAGGUGCCUACAUGACAACCAUGUAGAAAUGUUCAGUGGAGAGCUAGAAACAACGUUUCCAUUAAAACUUCUCUCUAGCACUGACGUAAAUUACAUACCUAUAUUUUAAAUAAAUUCCUAGUUCUGAUUGUGCUAAAGGACUUUGUGAUGUUGGACACUACAUAUUAACAACUGAAGCAAAAGGAGAAGAGGGAGAACCUGCUGGGAAUGAAACACUGAGGGUCUGAAGGGGUUGGUAAACUCAGGUGUGGGGUGGGGACUGAAGGGUAGGGAUAGGUAAAAGUAGGAUUGGCAGAUGGGACUGAGUGAUAAACUGCUGGGUGGAUAUACCAUCACUCCUGAGACUAAAACUACUGCAUCUCUUUGAUAAAAAGAUGAUUCUGGGGCUAGCUACUAACUUGUGUGAAGUAUCUAGCACUUUCUCAUCUAAACCCAGAAGUAAUAUUUUCAAAUAAGUCUAUCAGCUUUACCCUUGCUCCCUAAUCCAAUUAUGCAAAUAAUUAAAAAUAUUAGUUUUAUGGCCAAAUUAUAGGAUUUCAUUAUGGAACAACGGGCCUAUAUUUUAAUUCUUACUUGUGAACUAUUCUCAAGCAUUUACUUUCUGGGUGCUUUGUAUCAACCCCCACUAAAAUGGAAGCUCCUCUGAAGGUAUGAAUUAUUUUCUUCUCCACAUGGCUCUACGUAAUGCCUGGGCUCAUUGAUACUUCUGUAGGAAAGGUGUCAGUGAACACUGGCCAUACAAUCAUGCAUUGUGCAAAUGAAUUAAGGCAGCAAUGUGAUGUCAUGGAAAGAAAAAAAAGAUCUGGAGUCAGGAAGUCUGUCUGAAGUCCUGGUUCUCCUCCACUUACCAGCUGUGUGAUCUUGGGCAAGCUUCCGAGUCUCAGUUUCCCUACCAGUGAAAUGGGGGUCGUGAUAAUCUUGGCUGUACCUACUGACUAGUGAAGAUGUAAGUAGUGGUAGUAAUAAUAAUAAUAAUAAUAAGGUAGACCAAAGAGUUGUGAAUUGUACAGAACAAAUAUUCGUUGUUAUUGUGGUAUAGUGAAAAGCACAUAUAGGUUUUGGAGUCAGACGGACCUGUGCUCUAAUUCUGGAUCGACCAGUCACUAGCUGUAAGAACAUGAACUCACUGAAUUCCAAUUUCCUUCUCUGUAGAAUUAGGACAGGAACACAUACCUCACACUAAGUUGUGAUGAGGGCAAAAGGCUACUAUACAUACAAAGUGUAUAGUAUAACAUUAGGCUGGAAUGUAGUUAGAACCCACAAAUUGUCGUUCCUGUCCCUUAAGUGCUUACAGAAGGUUUUCCCAUGCUAGUUAGGGAUUAAGUGGGGGAAGAAUAUGCAGAGGCAAAUAAAAGACAUGGUCCCUGUCCUCAAGAAGCUUUUAGUCAGUUCAGAAAACACACACACAUUAAACAAUAUUGAAAGAGUUACAGAACAGCAGAUCAACAAGCUUGAGAUGAUUAACAGGCAGAGAGCCCUGCUUUCUUUAAGCUUUAAAAUUUGUCAAUACACCCUUACUGUAUUUGAAGUUGGUUUAAAGGAGAUUUCUUGUCCUGUCUGGGAGUAGAAGGAGAGGAUCAUUUACAGAUGUGUGACUGUUUGUUCUAAUUGACCCCAGGCUUAUUUCUCAUACCCCCAUCCUAACUUUUCUCAUCUUCUUCCUCUAUCCUUCAACUAGUGGCCCACAAAUAUCAAAAUGAAAUAUUUGGUACAGAGACUCACUCCUAAAAGGCUUGGUAAAUGACCUGGUUAUAUUGGACUGUCUCAUUUAUAAUCUGGGACUAUUUCAUUUGCAAUCUGUUGUAUCUAGAUCAGCAAGAUGUGGACAGAGAAUGGGAAGCUUUAAUGAACACCACAGAAAUAUUCCUUCACCAGUCGUAUGGCUAUGCACAUGUGAGAGGGACACAGGAGGAGACAGGGAUGCUGACCACAGGCUCCUUGCAGUAGGUGGACUCAGGGGCCAGACUGUAAUGGCAGUGAUGGACAUGGAUUCACAGGGAGAAAGGCAUCCCAGAAGCAGAAGAAUUAGUCAAGCAGAGGCACAGAAGCAAGAGUUAGUUGUGUGCAGGGACUGGCAAGCAGGCUGGCUCGGCUGAGAUAAAGGAAAAAAAAAAAAACAACUCAAAAGAGAUGCGGUAUAAAAGAGGAUUUGAAUGGAGACCUUGAAUCCUAGGCUGACAAGUCUGGACUUGAGUACAAAGGUAUUCUUGUUUUCUAUUUCAGGAGCAUACCCCCCACCCCCAACUUCUAAGGAUAUUAAAAAUAACUGUCAUUACAAAGUUUGAGAGCUAUGAAAUACUACUGCUCUGAUAUUUUAAAAAGAGAAUGUCUAUGCUUUACUCAAUUUUCAUAUCCCUAUGUGUCUAGCACAGUGCCUUGCAGAUAGCAGAUCCUCAAUAAGUGUUUGUGAAUUAAAUUUAGUUGUACUUGAUAUUAUCUUUCAUUUUCCUGAAGAGAAAAGGUAUGGUGUCUAAUGGGACUCCUAAUGACUAAACCAUGAAGAGAAAAGCUAAAUCUCUGGGUACACAUUCACUUUCAUCACGAAGAUUUACAGGGUUAGAAACAGGAUUAACAUUCCACAGGAAAUUCUGUAUAAUGCUUUCCAGAGAUUUCUUGUUCUGUACUAGACUGUGAGCAACUUGAGGGCAGAGUCCAUGUCUUCUCAGGCUGUGAUUUGCCAGUAUCUAGUAUAGAACACAGCACACAGCAGGUGCUCAGUAAACGUGGCAUAAAUGGGAGACCAUUUGUCAGGAAUCAUUCUCAUGUUAUUUUAACUGUAAUUAUUUUCCUGAUGAAUUAAUAUCAUCAGACAUUCUGACAGUUCAGCAGAAGUCAAGCCCCCUUUUCACCAGACAGCCUGGAAUUCCCAACCAUUAACUAACUGGUAUAGACUGAGCUUCUUCCAUAUGGGGCAUCAGAAGACCUAGAUUCUAGUCUCAGAUGUUCCACUAACUUGCUAGGUGUCCUUGGG